rnacentral:rRNA from 1 species
AUAGAGACUCAGAGCUGCAUAUCAAUAAGCGGAGGAAAAGAAACUAACAAGGAUUCCCCUAGUAACGGCGAGUGAAGCGGGAAGAGCUCAAAUUUGAAAUCUUAAAGGGUUUCCCUUUACGAAUUGUAGUUUAAAGAAGUGUUUUCUGUUGGAGUUUCGGUAAAAGUUCUUUGGAAUAGGACAUCAUAGAGGGUGAGAAUCCCGUAUUUGACCGUUACUUUCCAGCUGUGUGAUACACUUUCAAAGAGUCGGAUUGUUUGGGAAUGCAGUCCAAAAUGGGUGGUAAAUUUCAUCUAAAGCUAAAUAUUGGCGAGAGACCGAUAGCGAACAAGUACCGUGAGGGAAAGAUGAAAAGAACUUUGAAAAGAGAGUUAAACAGUACGUGAAAUUGUCAAAAGGGAAGCGUUUGACACCAGUGUUGUUUAGUUGAAAAUCAAUUCAAUAGUUUUUGAUUCUAAGUAGUAUUGACUUCAUCAGCUUGCUGCUUUCUUCUCAGAAAUUAUUGAAUGCACUUUUCAGUUAACAAGUCAACAUCAAUUUCUUUUGUUGUAAAAGGGUAAGAGGAAGGUGGCUUGCGCUUCGGCUCAAGUGUUUAUAGCCUUUUAUCUCUGCAAUCGGAGAGAUUGAGGUCUGCAGCGUAGAUCCUUCGGGGUUAGAUACAUUGGUGCUAAGCUAUAGCCUUGUAUAGACAACUUGUUGACUAUGCUCAGUCAUGUAGCUUACUCGCUGAUGCUAUUUUACCUACGCUUAGGAUGUUGACGAGACUGUCGAUCUC